rnacentral:misc_RNA from 1 species
GGCUGAUAAAAAGGUUGAAGAAUUGGAAAAGGAAAUAGCAGAUUCUAGACAGAAAAUUGAGUUCUACCGUGUUAAGAUGCAGGAACUUAUUUUAUAUAAAAGCCGAUGUGACAGUCGACUAAAUGAGGUAACAGAAAGGGUGGCAGCCGAUAAACGUGAGGUUGAGGCAUUCGCCAAGAAAUACGAGGAGAAAUACAAGCAGUCU